rnacentral:rRNA from 1 species
GACAGAGGGUGCAAACGUUGUUCGGAUUUACUGGGCGUAAAGCGCGUGUAGGCGGCUUUGCAAGUCGGAUGUGAAAGCCCACGGCUCAACCGUGGAAGUGCAUCCGAAACUGCAUGGCUGGAGUCUCGGAGAGGAAGGUGGAAUGCUUGGUGUAGAGGUGAAAUUCGUAGAUAUCAAGCAGAACACCUGCGGCGAAGGCGGCCUUCUGGACGAUGACUGACGCUGAGGCGCGAAAGCGUGGGGAUCAAACAGG